UCUCUUCUGCUUCUUUUAUAUGUUAUAUUUCUGGGUUUUCCUGGAAGAUAAACCAGAAAUAUAACAUAUAAAAGAAGCAGAAGAGA
rnacentral:pre_miRNA from 1 species